UACGUAGGGGGCUAGCGUUGUCCGGAAUCAUUGGGCGUAAAGCGCGUGUAGGCGGCCCGGUAAGUCCGCUGUGAAAGUCGGGGGCUCAACCCUCGGAAGCCGGUGGAUACUGUCGGGCUCGAGUACGGAAGAGGCGAGUGGAAUUCCUGGUGUAGCGGUGAAAUGCGCAGAUAUCAGGGAGAACACCCGUGGCGAAAGCGACUCUCUGGAACGGUACUGACGCUGAGACGCGAAAGCGUGGGGAGCGAACAGG
rnacentral:rRNA from 1 species